rnacentral:rRNA from 1 species
ACAGCCAUACCAUGCAGAAUAUACCGGUUCUCGUUAGAUCACCGAAGUCAAGCAUCAUUGGGCGCGGUCAGUACUUUGGUGGUUGACCACCUGGGAACACCGCGUGCCGUU